rnacentral:rRNA from 1 species
CGCAUCUGUGCAUGCAGCAUAUCAAUAAGCGGAGGAAAAGAAACUAACAAGGAUUCCCCUAGUAACGGCGAGUGAAGCGGGAAGAGCUCAAAUUUGAAAUCUUAAAGGGUUUCCCUUUACGAAUUGUAGUUUAAAGAAGUGUUUUCUGUUGAGGUUUUGGUAAAAGUUCUUUGGAAUAGGACAUCAUAGAGGGUGAGAAUCCCGUAUUUGACCUUUACUUUCAACUUUGUGAUACACUUUCAAAGAGUCGGAUUGUUUGGGAAUGCAGUCCAAAAUGGGUGGUAAAUUUCAUCUAAAGCUAAAUAUUGGCGAGAGACCGAUAGCGAACAAGUACCGUGAGGGAAAGAUGAAAAGAACUUUGAAAAGAGAGGUUAAACAGUACGUGAAAUUGUCAAAAGGGAAGCGUUUGACACCAGUGUUGUUUUUCUGAAAAUCAAUUAAAGAACUGUUUAUGCUAAGUUGUUUAGACUUUAUCAGCUAACUGUUUAGUUUUGAGCUUUUCUUUAAUGCACUUUUCAGUUAACAAGUCAACAUCAAUUUCUUUUGCUGUAAAAAGCUUGAGGAAGGUGGCUUGAGAUUCGUCUUAAGUGUUUAUAGCCUCUUGCCUAUGCAGUCGGAGAGAUUGAGGUCUGCAGCGUAGAUCCUUCGGGGCUAAAUGCAUUUGUGCUAAGUUAUAACAUUUUAUAGACAACUUGUUGACUAUGAUUUGUCUUGUAGCUUACUCGCUUAUGUUAUUUUACCUACGCUUAGGAUGUUGAACGCGCACAGAGUCUC